rnacentral:rRNA from 1 species
GCACGACUAGCCUCGUCGUCACUGUAAAGCAUAGAUAAAGUCCGGUUGAGGCGGACUGGGGGUUCGGAUUCGGGGCGGUGAAGAGGAGAGCAGGGGGAGAUGGACCAGGUGCUGAACAAGGUGGGGAGCUACUGGUUCAGCAAGAGGGCCAGCAAGGAGAUCGACUCCAUCGGCGACGACCUCAACUCAGUCUCUUCCAGUAUUGGCGGGGGAGCUAAAUGGAUGGUGAACAAGAUCAAAGGGAAGCUGCAGAAAGCAUUACCAGAUCUUCUCAAAGAAUAUGACAUGCCAGCAGGCCUCUUCCCACGGGACACAACUAAUUACGAGUUCAAUGAAGAGACAAAGAAGCUGACAGUGUACAUCCCGUCAGCUUGUGACGUCGGGUACAAGGACUCAUCGGUGGUGCGGUUCUUCACCUGUGUGACCGGCUACCUCGAGAAGGGAAAGCUUUCCGAAAUUGAGGGCAUGAAGACCAAGGUGCUUGUAUGGACCAAGGUGACCUCCAUCAAGACCGAGGGCUCAAAGGUCCAUUUCACUGCGGGCAUGAAGAAGACCCGCAGCCGCGAUGCGUAUGAGGUUGUCAGAGAUGGCAUCAUCAUAGACAAGUUCUAGAGCAUACCUGUACCUGGGCUGACAGGUGCAAUGUAAUUACUUAGAUAUGCUACAUUGAAAUCUGUUGUGCUAUCGGAUCGGCCUAACCAACUGUGUUGCUGAAAACUUCCAUCCAUGACUUUUUCUAUAUCUUGACAAUCUGUGCUUGUUUUGCUGUCAUCCUGAUUCUUCCACCAGACCAGAAAGGGUGACCGGACCAGGGCGCCAUGUUGUAUCCAGUUUUUAGUUUUGAAUUCCUCUUGAUCUUUGGGUGUGAUGUGGCCUGUAAACGCCAUCAAGUUUGGAUGCAGGUGGCAAUGCAGGAAAUGGG